CGGCGAUGAUGGGUAACAAAGUUGUAUAGGAGGGUUUGGAGAAUGAGUAGCUGAUGAUGAGAGAGAGUAGGGUAAUGGUUUUUCUUGUGCCGGUGGGCAUUUCGAGGAGAGAGUGGCCUUUGGCAUCUAGGGCACGCUUCAGUUCCACCAUGUAUGAAUAUUGUUCUGGGUGUGAUCGUAUGGGAAGUACCCAGUAACAUCUUCGAUUUGAAACUUCAUCUCUCCCUCUGCAAUAUUUUCUCUAAUCUAUAUCUAUAUCUAUAUGUUUCUGUAAAGAAAGAUUAAAGUUCAAUUUUCAGCAGGAUGAGGAAGACGAUGGACGAACAGUCUAGGACGGUGAUCAGUUACGGUGGCUUCGUUUCUUUUUAUAUUGGAAUUGGAAUCUAAAUAUUAUGCGUAAUUGGGUAAAGGAAAAAUAUAGGCAGCAGCGAGAGCGAGAGCCUUUGAUUCGAAUUUAUGGGCAUCAAGGUUCGAAUUUAUGGGCGAAUAUAUGGAGCAUUUGAUUCCAGUGGUUUGUUUUAAUAGAUGGCUUGUUUAUGUGUAUUUCAAUUUGUCAAUUAUGCUUUACUGUUAAUUUUUAAUUUUCAGAUUUGGAUGUUUUUGAUCUAUUAUUAAUUCCUACGUUCAUGUCUUUGUUCAUGGGUGUUUUUGAUCUGUUUGUCUGAUUGGUAUGUGUUCCAUUUCAACUUGUUAGGGGCGUGAUGUUUAUUUUGGGUUGCAGCUGAUUUGGAGGUUCUAUCAUUCUUACUUUCUUUAUUGUUGUUGUAUGAUUGAUUUGGCUUUAGUUGAGGUUGUGUCUUGGUGAUCUCCGACCUAUUUCCGGCUGGCUGAUUUUGGCAGUUUGCCAAAAAAUGUUGGUAGGUGCAACAGAGGCGGUCUAGUCAUCUUUGGUGCUGCACAUGGGUUCCACUUGGGCAAUAACUAGUUUAUCAUUAUCCACGUCAGAUGAGUAAGCUACGUUAGAAUUUUCCAUCUACUCCGUUAGUCAAUUUUAACGAUUAUUUUAAAAUUAGAAAGUACAAGCACUAGAUUGCAACAUUUUUCGAGUACAAUCACCUAUUUGUAACUUUUUUCACUUUGAGUACCA
rnacentral:lncRNA from 1 species